rnacentral:rRNA from 1 species
CCUACGGGUGGCAGCAGUGGGGAAUCUUUCGCAAUGGGCGCAAGCCUGACGGAGCAACGCCGCGUGAGUGAAGAAGGUCUUCGGAUCGUAAAGCUCUGUUGAUGGGGACGAAUGUGCGAAGGGUGAAUAAUCCUUUGCAAUGACGGUACCUAUCGAGGAAGCCACGGCUAACUACGUGCCAGCAGCCGCGGUAAUACGUAGGUGGCGAGCGUUGUCCGGAAUCAUGGGGCGUAAAGGGAGCGCAGGCGGGCAUGUAAGUCUUUCUUAAAAGUUCGGGGCUCAACCCCGUGAUGGGAAAGAAACUACAUGUCUUUAGUACAGGAGAGGAAAGCGGAAUUCCCAGUGUAGCGGUGCAAUGCGUAGAUAUUGGGAGGAACAUCAGUGGCGAAGGCGGCUUUCUGGACUGCAACUGACGCUGAGGCUCGAAAGCCAGGGGAGCGAACGGGAUGAGAUACCCUUGUAGUC